GGUUGUGGCUUAGUGGUAGAGCACUCGCCCAACAUGCAUGAGGCACUGGGUUUAAUCCUCAGCACCA
rnacentral:tRNA from 1 species